rnacentral:rRNA from 1 species
UGGGGAAUAUUGCACAAUGGGCGCAAGCCUGAUGCAGCCAUGCCGCGUGUGUGAAGAAGGCCUUCGGGUUGUAAAGCACUUUCAGCGAGGAGGAAGGUGGUGAGCUUAAUACGCUCAUCAAUUGACGUUACUCGCAGAAGAAGCACCGGCUAACUCCGUGCCAGCAGCCGCGGUAAUACGGAGGGUGCAAGCGUUAAUCGGAAUUACUGGGCGUAAAGCGCACGCAGGCGGUUUGUUAAGUCAGAUGUGAAAUCCCCGGGCUCAACCUGGGAACUGCAUUUGAAACUGGCAAGCUAGAGUCUCGUAGAGGGGGGUAGAAUUCCAGGUGUAGCGGUGAAAUGCGUAGAGAUCUGGAGGAAUACCGGUGGCGAAGGCGGCCCCCUGGACGAAGACUGACGCUCAGGUGCGAAAAGCGUGGGGCAGCAAACAGGAUUAGAUACCCCUGGUAGUCCACGCUGUAAAACGAUGUCGAUUUUGGAGGUUGUGCCCUUGAGGCGUGGCUUCCGGAGCUAACGCGUUAAAGUCGACCGCCUGGGGAGUACGGCGCAAGGUUAAAACUCAAAGGAAUUGACGGGGUCAUAGCUG